rnacentral:rRNA from 1 species
GACGAACGUUGGCGGCGUGCUUAACACAUGCAAGUCGAACGGAAAGGCCCUGCUUUUGUGGGGUGCUCGAGUGGCGAACGGGUGAGUAACACGUGAGUAACCUGCCCUUGACUUUGGGAUAACUUCAGGAAACUGGGGCUAAUACCGGAUAGGAGCUCCUGCUGCAUGGUGGGGGUUGGAAAGUUUCGGCGGUUGGGGAUGGACUCGCGGCUUAUCAGCUUGUUGGUGGGGUAGUGGCUUACCAAGGCUUUGACGGGUAGCCGGCCUGAGAGGGUGACCGGCCACAUUGGGACUGAGAUACGGCCCAGACUCCUACGGGAGGCAGCAGUGGGGAAUAUUGCACAAUGGGCGGAAGCCUGAUGCAGCAACGCCGCGUGCGGGAUGACGGCCUUCGGGUUGUAAACCGCUUUCGCCUGUGACGAAGCGUGAGUGACGGUAAUGGGUAAAGAAGCACCGGCUAACUACGUGCCAGCAGCCGCGGUGAUACGUAGGGUGCGAGCGUUGUCCGGAUUUAUUGGGCGUAAAGGGCUCGUAGGUGGUUGAUCGCGUCGGAAGUGUAAUCUUGGGGCUUAACCCUGAGCGUGCUUUCGAUACGGGUUGACUUGAGGAAGGUAGGGGAGAAUGGAAUUCCUGGUGGAGCGGUGGAAUGCGCAGAUAUCAGGAGGAACACCAGUGGCGAAGGCGGUUCUCUGGGCCUUUCCUGACGCUGAGGAGCGAAAGCGUGGGGAGCGAACAGGCUUAGAUACCCUGGUAGUCCACGCUGUAAACGGUGGGUACUAGGUGUGGGGUCCAUUCCACGGGUUCCGUGCCGUAGCUAACGCUUUAAGUACCCCGCCUGGGGAGUACGGCCGCAAGGCUAAAACUCAAAGGAAUUGACGGGGCCCCGCACAAGCGGCGGAGCAUGCGGAUUAAUUCGAUGCAACGCGUAGAACCUUACCUGGGUUUGACAUGGAUCGGGAGUGCUCAGAGAUGGGUGUGCCUCUUUUGGGGUCGGUUCACAGGUGGUGCAUGGCUGUCGUCAGCUCGUGUCGUGAGAUGUUGGGUUAAGUCCCGCAACGAGCGCAACCCUUGUUCACUGUUGCCAGCACGUUAUGGUGGGGACUCAGUGGAGACCGCCGGGGUCAACUCGGAGGAAGGUGGGGAUGACGUCAAGUCAUCAUGCCCCUUAUGUCCAGGGCUUCACGCAUGCUACAAUGGCUGGUACAGAGAGUGGCGAGCCUGUGAGGGUGAGCGAGUCUCGGAAAGCCGGUCUCAGUUCGGAUUGGGGUCUGCAACUCGACCUCAUGAAGUCGGAGUCGCUAGUAAUCGCAAAUCAGCAACGCUGCGGUGAAUACGUUCCCGGGGC